CCUACGGGAGGCAGCAGUGGGGAAUUUUGGACAAUGGGCGCAAGCCUGAUCCAGCAAUGCCGCGUGAGUGAAGAAGGCCUUCGGGUUGUAAAGCUCUUUUGUCAGGGAAGAAACGGGUCUUUCUAAUACAGAGGCCUAAUGACGGUACCUGAAGAAUAAGCACCGGCUAACUACGUGCCAGCAGCCGCGGUAAUACGUAGGGUGCAAGCGUUAAUCGGAAUUACUGGGCGUAAAGCGUGCGCAGGCGGUUUUGUAAGUUUGUCGUGAAAUCCCCGGGCUCAACCUGGGAAUGGCGAUGAAGACUGCAAGGCUAGAGUUUGGCAGAGGGGGGUAGAAUUCCACGUGUAGCAGUGAAAUGCGUAGAUAUGUGGAGGAACACCGAUGGCGAAGGCAGCCCCCUGGGUCAAAACUGACGCUCAUGCACGAAAGCGUGGGGAGCAAACAGGAUUAGAUACCCUGGUAGUCCACGCCCUAAACGAUGUCUACUAGUUGUCGGGUCUUAAUUGACUUGGUAACGCAGCUAACGCGUGAAGUAGACCGCCUGGGGAGUACGGUCGCAAGAUUAAAACCUUAAAGGAAUUGACGG
rnacentral:rRNA from 1 species